CUUGGAACUAGCUCUUGUAGACCAGGCUGGCCUCAAACUCAGAGAUUCACUUGCCUCUGCUUCCCGAGUGCUGGGAUUAAAGGCAUGCGCCACCGCCGCCCAGCUAUCCAAGUCCUUUAAAUCAACAUUUAAAACAGAAACAACAGAGCCACGAGGCUGGCAUGUGCUUCAGCUUGGAGACUUGCCUGACAUGUGUAAGGUCCCAAGUUUCAUCCCAGCAUGUUUUUUUUUAAAGACAUAUUUGUAUAUGCAAUAUUUGCAUCAUAUUUGCAGGGUUUUUUGUUGUUGUUGAAUAUACCAGGAAAGAUUAGGAACUCAAGGCCACCUUGGUGAGUUUGAAGCUAGCCUGGACUCCAUGAGGCCAUAUAUAAAGCAACAACAGAAACCAAAACAAGGGCCAGAGAGAAAUCUCAGCAGGUAAAGGCACUUACCAUCCAGGUUGGUGACCUGAAUUGUCUUCUGACCUCCGCAUGCGUGCUGUGGUACACAAGCACUCCUACACACACAUAAAUAAAUAAGCAAGCAAAUGUAACAGAAGUUUCUUAGAACAUGUCAGCUUUUGUGGCCUAGGAAGGAUGAGACCAGCAGAACUCCACAGGCUCAAUGAAGGCACCCCAAAUUCACGUUUGUAUCUACAGAGAAAAGAGAAGGAAGGAAGGCAUUCCAUCAAAAUAACAAGAGUUCUGGAAAGUUUGUAUGAUUGUUGUGUUAGAAGCAAAACAGAUUAAAGUUCUUUUGGAAUCAAGCCUGAUGAUUAGAGCUCAAUUCCUGGGAGCCACAGGGUGGAAGAUGAGAACUCACUUUAGAAAGUUGACCCUUGACCUCCACGGGGACUCUGCAUGUAAGAACAAAAUAUAUAACUAAAUGUAAUGCAAUUUUUUUAAAAAAGUAUAGUUCUGUGGGACAAUAAAGCCUAGAGGAAAACCAUCGUUUACAUCUCUGCGAGGUUAAAAUAAUCCUGAGUUGUUAAUUUUCUCCCCGUUCACAGCUGUCUUAUAGAGCAAACAGUGCAUUAUGCAAAGUGACAUUUCCAUGAAGUGGCAGGCGACCCUUGGCACUACUUAGACACAACUCGAACUUGGCUUUGAACAGACGUGGUUAUCUGCCUGCCUUGUUCCCACACGCUGGGAACUGUAUCUUUGAAGCCAGGAUACAGCGAGGACACAGCGAGAGGAGCUGAGGUAGAUCUGGGGACGGAAAGUCUCCCCUACCCUGCUCAUCUCAGAAGCUAGCGCAACACCCCUGCUUUAUUUCAAGUCACCACUUCUAACUCUUCUUUUGAAUCAUAGUAGGCAAAGUAUAGUGUUUUUUAUAUAUAUAUAUAUUUUUAAUUUUCAUUUAGAAAUAUUGAACAGGCAUGGUGGUACAGACCUGUAAUCCCAACACCUGGGAGGCCUAACUGGGCUACAUAGUGAGGUACUAUGUUCAAAAAAGUAAUAAUUACAACAGAAGGAGGUGUAAGGUAUAAUUUAUAGAGUGAGAUGAUGCCCAUUGUUUGAUUUCCGUAUAUUGGAUACCUAUCUGCCCAUUGCCACCUGGCCAGACUUGGAACAUUCCCACUGUACCCACAAGUGUCCUGGAGCUCCUUUCAGGCCACAAGCCUUCCCUUUUCGGAAGCAGAGUGGCCGACCCACUUCCUAUCACCAGUAUUCCAACCUCAGGUACAGAAUCCACCAUCUACCUCAUUGUCCCUCCUGGCAUCUGAGUGGGCACGAAUGUCAGUUCUGUCUACAGUUGUCUGGCAUCCCUCACUCUCGCCCACCACGCCGGCUCCCCUGUUCUGUCAGUGGGUGGUUUGGAACGAGGAUGGAUGACAUUGCGAGGUUCUCACCCCGCCCUGUGAACCCCUCUUGUGCUGUUUCCACCACCCAGGGGCAGAUUGGCCUUGGAGUCUCUCCCCUAGCUCUCCCUGCAGCAUCCGUGUCCGAAGCCCUGCACCUUGGUGGAGACACCUUGCCUUUGCUCACCCUUCCCUCCUCACCCAGACAGUAUCCCAGCCCUUCUUCCUUGCUCCUUUGGGUCAAUGCCUCCCCUCCUCCUUGGGUCUCCCCUUCCAGUCUUACCCUCAGCACCCAACAGAUGCUUGUGAAGGCUGGAGUUGGGACGGACUGGCAGUGGCUACUGAGUUCGUCUCUGCACACUCUUUGCUUCUCUUUGAACAGGCGGUGUGGAAGGCAGCUGGCCUGAGAUCCAGGAUCAGUGUCACGUUGGUUCUACCAGGGACUUCACCCAUAAAACUGAGGGGGUGCUGGACCUCAUCUGGACUGUGAGUGGCCACAUUCUCAUGGAACCUGCAGGGGGCACCAUCCCUCCCUGGUCCCUGUUGAGCUGUCCAGGGUCCUGAUGUGAUUUAGCCUAUUCCCCUGCCGCCUAGGCAUCUGUAACCUAGACAUUCUUAAAUAAAAGGUGACUUCUACCUCUA